rnacentral:lncRNA from 1 species
CGUCUGUUCACUACUGUGUCCUCAGCGCCAUCAAUAGUGCCUGGCACAGAGUAGGAUGAAGGCAGAGCCCCGAGGAAGGCUGCGCUAGGUGGGGGAGCUGAUCUCAGGGAGAUGCUGCCCUGCACAGGUUCUGCCCUUUGGAAAGGGUCCUCAGAUGCCCUACGGUCCUCUGUCGUCUCGUCUGUAACAUGGGACGGACCGCUGCAGUGUCUUCCUUGGGGGUCAUCACAAGGAUUAAGUGAGAUCAGGCCUGUGGAGCAAUCAGCCCGGCCUGGGAGUGUCCGACUCGGGUGCCCCCAGUGAGUGAGCAGCUCUCCCAAGCAACAGGUCCAGGUCCCAAGCUCCUCCACCUCGUGGCCCCGCCGUCUCCCACCGUGGCUCCCAAGGUCUCCAGUAAACAGCCUGGAGGAUCAACGAGCCAGGAUCUCCAUGUUCCAGGAAAUAAUGGAAGAAGGCUUAGGCCAAGAACGAGGAGGAAGUCUGAAGGUAGGAGAUGUAGAGGGAAGAGUGCUCCGAGUUCAGAAUCCGGCCACCCUGUUUCCCAUCCCAGUUGUGCCAUGAGUCUGAUUGGGGCCAGGUCAUUUCACCUCUCCCAAUUCCCGAUGCUUAAUCGGUAAAAUGGGCUUUUGUCAAGACUGAGCCAACGUGGGGUGUGAAAUUUCCAGUCACCGAGCGGGCCCUCAGCACACAGCACCUGCCUCCUUCCUUCCAUCCACUCAGCUCUGUGAAGUCUGUGGACGUGGAGCGGCAACAUCCUCAGCGAUGAUGGGCAGCGUGUGUUCAACGCCAGAUGAGGAACAGGAGAGAGGAUGCUGCAAAGCGCGGGCUUAGGGCUGGCUUCCCGGAAGAUGGGGACUCCAGGAUGGGAAGGUCCCUCUGCUCAGCCGCUGCCUUUGGUCCCCUCAGCCCCUCCCCCGCCGCCAGAUCACAGGGAGAACAAUCCUGUGAAAAGCAGGUUCCCAGCCCAGAACAGCUGCCAAAUUCACCUGGGCUGGGGUGGGAAGCUCUCAUGUCAGGAGGAACAAUACCCUUUGGCUUGAAACAAAAGAGAUUCAGAUGGGGCUGUUCAAAGGCCUGGGUGGGUUGCUGGGGAAAAGUUUCAGAUUACAGUGUGGGGGCAGGGUGGCACGGCGGGGAGGCAAGGGCCCAGGAGGAAGAGGUAGGGUAGGUGUCCCAAGUGGCUGAGAUGGCCGAAUGCCUGCUGUUUCCAGUCCAGGCUGGGUCCCCUGCUGUCAUCCCCACCUCUGGGGCUCAGGGGCAAGAAGGGAUGGGAAAUUCACUCCCGGGAGGCAGAGACAGUGAAGCCAGCAGGCGAAGGCUUGUGGGUGCCCAGGGGCCCCCAAGGUGGCUGUAGGCACCCUGGGCAGCUGGAGCCAACAGGUCAAGGGAGAUGUGACAGCAGGAACCCCCCAAAAAGAGGAAGCCUUGCCCUCUGGGCAUUGGAGAGCAACCUGAACUUCCCAAGAUUAUGGGCCUCAUGAAGCCUGCGGUGAUUUUAUUAAAUAUUAUUAGCUGAGCUGCCAACAAUUGUAAAGCAUAUCCUGAUUUGGAGGAUUUGAAAAAGUAAACACUUGCUGACUUAGCAUGGACAAAGUAUGAUAAAUGAGUUAGCGUUUGCGCUUGGAACAGUGGGUGGAACAGAGAACACAAUAAAUAUCGC